rnacentral:tRNA from 1 species
ACCCCGGUAGCUCACCUGGACAGAGCGACAGAUUCCUAAUCUGUAGGUAGUGGGUUCGAGUCCCGCCCGGGGUACCA